GCCAAUUCUUCUCGGUGAUGUAAUGGUAGCAUGCGUCCCCGGUACGAAUGGAACACGGGUUCGACUCCCGUCUAAGGCC